rnacentral:rRNA from 1 species
AUUGAACGCUGGCGGCAGGCUUAACACAUGCAAGUCGAGCGGGGUGAUGGUGCUCGCACUAUCACUUAGCGGCGGACGGGUGAGUAAUGCUUAGGAAUCUGCCUAUUAGUGGGGGACAACAUCUCGAAAGGGAUGCUAAUACCGCAUACGUCCUACGGGAGAAAGCAGGGGAUCACUUGUGACCUUGCGCUAAUAGAUGAGCCUAAGUCGGAUUAGCUAGUUGGUGGGGUAAAGGCCUAACAAGGCGACGAUCUGUAGCGGGUCGGAGAGGAUGAUCCGCCACACUGGGACUGAGACACGGCCCAGACUCCUACGGGAGGCAGCAGUGGGGAAUAUUGGACAAUGGGGGGAACCCUGAUCCAGCCAUGCCGCGUGUGUGAAGAAGGCCUUAUGGUUGUAAAGCACUUUAAGCGAGGAGGAGGCUCUUUUGGUUAAUACCCAAGAUGAGUGGACGUUACUCGCAGAAUAAGCACCGGCUAACUCUGUGCCAGCAGCCGCCGUAA